rnacentral:antisense_RNA from 1 species
UUUAAUGGUGGCUGUGUGCAGGGCGCCCUCGGGCGCGCCGGUUUUGUCUGGAAUAUCCGGUCUACUAACCUGCACACAGCUGCCACCUUU